GAUGAACGCUGGCGGCGUGCCUAAUACAUGCAAGUCGAACGAGGUGCUUUUGUAGCAAUACGAGAGUAUCCUAGUGGCGAACGGGUGAGUAACGCGUUGGUGACCUACCCCAAAGUGUGGAAUAACAGUCCGAAAGGAUUGCUAAUACCGCAUGUGGUUAUCGGGCUUAGAAACUGAUAACUAAAGGAGCAAUUCGCUUUGGGAGGGACCUGCGUCCCAUCAGCUAGUUGGUGAGGUAACGGCUCACCAAGGCUACGACGGGUAGGGGACCUGAGA
rnacentral:rRNA from 1 species